UACUCGUCUCCCUCACGUCUCGCAUGGGUGCAGUGGGGAGCUGCGGGGCUUCCCGCCUCCCCUCCAACCCAGCAUGGGGGGGCAGGUUGCUAAGUGUCCCGAGAGAAAUGCAGGUCCGCUCCGUGCUCUCCCCUCCCCCCACCUCAUAGCCAUCAGUCCCCCAGGACCUUGCCCAUGUCCUCCCCCACUUCCAGGGUGCAGUCCCCGAUUCCCUCCCCCAGUGCCCUCCUAAAGCCCAGUGAGCCCCC